GAUGCCACUCGAAUUGUUCUGCCCCUUUUCUUUGCACUGGCUCUAUCUACUCUUGGUAGAAUCCAAAGCCAAUUGGUGAAAGAAAACUUAUACUUCCAUCGAAGCUCAGACCCUAGAUUACAUUUGUAGGAUCUUGAUUUAUUCUUGAUCGACACAUUCAUGAGUAUAUGUUUAGAACAACUUAGAAAUGGUGAUCCACC
rnacentral:lncRNA from 1 species